UACGUAGGGCGCAAGCGUUGUCCGGAAUUAUUGGGCGUAAAGAGCUCGUAGGCGGUUUUGUCGCGUCUGCUGUGAAAACUCGAGGCUCAACCUCGGGCUUGCAGUGGGUACGGGCAGACUAGAGUGCGGUAGGGGGUGACUGGAAUUCCUGGUGUAGCGGUGGAAUGCGCAGAUAUCAGGAGGAACACCGAUGCGAAGGCAGGUCACUGGGCCGCAACUGACGCUGAGGAGCG
rnacentral:rRNA from 1 species